rnacentral:pre_miRNA from 1 species
GGCAAUCUCGUAGGAGUGAAACUGUGAGCACAAGUGGAUUGAAUAAGAAAUUCGACGUUGCACUUGUGUUCCCAGGUCACCCCUUUGAGAUUCAC